AUUGAACGCUGGCGGCGUGGAUAAGACAUGCAAGUCGAACGCUGAUUUGAGGGUAGCAAUAUUCUCAAGUCGGAGUGGCGCAAGGGUGCGUAACACGUGGGCAAUUUGCCAAGAAGUUUGGGAUAACUCGCUGAAAGGCGAGCUAAUACCGGAUGUUAUGUUUGGGAGGCAUCUCUUGAACCUUAAAGUUGGGGACCGUAAGGCCUGACGCUUCUUGAUAAGCCCGCGGCCUAUCAGCUAGUUGGUGAGGUAACGGCUCACCAAGGCUAAGACGGGUAGCUGGUCUGAGAGGACGACCAGCCUCACUGGAACUGAGAUACGGUCCAGACACCUACGGGUGGCAGCAGUCGAGAAUUUUUUCUCAAUGGGCGAAAGCCUGAAGGAGCGACGCCGCGUGGGGGAUGAAUGGGCUUCGGCCCGUAAACCCCUGUCAUUUGCGAACAAUGUGCAUGAAAUUAACUAUUCGUGCAUUGCUUGUAGCAGAAGAGGAAGGGACGGCU
rnacentral:rRNA from 1 species